GGGGUGCUGCUGUGGAUUGAUGUCACUGUCAUGUGCUCUGCAGUGCUGCUGCUGCUUGAGUGAUUCCGAUAUCUGAAGCCUCUCCAGCCUUUCCACGACCUUUUGAAACGAAGCUUGCUGCUGCAUGGUGGAGAUCACAUCUUGCUUGGCCUUGGGAAAGUUUUGACUUUUCUGCUGCUGCUGCUGCUGCUGCUGGCUUCUCUCUGGCGAGCUGUCGGUUUUUACGCCGGGGCCAAGCACUGCAAGCUCAUCUUUAAAAAAGUCUUCAAGCUUGCGGCAUGGUCCGUCCAGAUGAGUGUCGCUCAGACCCAUCAGCCGUGCGACAACGUUUGUUCGCUGCUGCUGCUGCUGCUGCUGCUGCGAGUUCUGAUACGUUUUUGACAGCAUGCCAACGUCGAAGGACCUUCGAGGUGGCUCGUAAGAUGGAGGAUCAUCUGGGGGGUCGCUUGUUCCGAGGAGAAUUCGACCGUCAAGAGAACGACGGGGUGGUUCCUUUAACUUGAACUCGCUGAUACCGUCGCAGGAGAACCUUGGAGGAUCUAGACCGGUUUUGCUUCUGUCCUUGACGAGCCUGAACGAGUCUCUCAAUUUGGAGAGAGUGGACCGUCUUGGAGCCGCGGCCCAAGUUCCUCUUGCAUCAUCGGGAGUGAAAGUGAAGUACCUGUCUUCCGGAGGACUUGCCUUGCUCUUUUGCCGCUGGUUCUUAGGGAGGAGCUUCUCCUUCAGAGCGCGCGCCAUUUCUACUCGAGCUUCUUCCGUGCAUCGAUGAAUUGCGGACAAGGAAAUGGCUGCUGAAAGAGCAGCGAGCAGCGAGGCCUGGAAGCCGAGCGGAUUGAAUUCUUGUCACCAAGAUGAAGCCAAGUGGAGCUUUCACAACAGUUAGCUUGGCAUUAUCUCUGGGCAAUUUAUUCAGCAUGAAGAAAUGAGGACGCCUAUGAUCUACCUAGUGUGUGGAGGAUUGGACAGGUUCGCUAUUGUCGUAUAUUUUUCCGUUACAUCUCGAGUGAUUGUUUGUUUUGAGGUUGGGAUUGGGAUUAGAAGGGAGCGUCACUUUUCUGUGAAUAUGUUGCUAGAGGUGGGGGGUGGUCACGGAGUACUCGCACGACACAAAAAAAAGGAGAGGCCAAACUUUGAGGUAGGCAGGCCCGUGAAGAAAGAAGUUAAUGAGACUCGAGAGAGGAGAAAAAAUCAUUGGUUUCAAGCAGUUACAAAUGGUUUAUAGUACUGCCAAUGAUGAAAGUUCGAGCUAUUUAAAAUUAAUACCAAAUACAGAUAAAUAGAAAGUAUGAAUAGAUUUAUGUACAUUUUGAUUUUU